rnacentral:rRNA from 1 species
UCGCCUACGGGAGGCAGCAGUGGGGAAUAUUGGGCAAUGGGCGCAAGCCUGACCCAGCAAUGCCGCGUGAAGGAAUAAGGCCCUCGGGUUGUAAACUUCUUUUAUCAGGGACGAAGGAUGUGACGGUACCUGAUGAAUAAGCUCCGGCUAACUACGUGCCAGCAGCCGCGGUAAUACGUAGGGAGCAAGCGUUAUCCGGAUUUACUGGGUGUAAAGGGCGCGUAGGCGGGAUGGCAAGUCAGAUGUGAAAUCCAGGGGCUUAAACCCUGAAUUGCAUUUGAAAUUGUCGUUAUUGAGUACUGGAG